CUCCUUCCGUCAGUCCUCCCUCCAUCCCUCCACAGCCUGACCAUCCCACGCUCUCACACACCCAGGGGCUGAUGAGGAAGGAGCCACAAACCGGAGCUGGAAGUUAGUAAAUUGGCAGCGUUCCCACACUGGGUCCGGUACCUCGGCCGGCUGGGCUUGAACAUUCUCUGGGGUGUUGUUCUCAGUCGGAGGCGACGGAGACGAAAUCGCCGCCUGCCCAGGCCCUGGCUGGGAUAGCGGGAGCCCAGGCCCCGGGGCCGAGGGGCACGAGCAGGGCGUAGAGGGCCCAUCCAGGCCAACAGCUCCCAGCAACUACCUUCUCAGACUUUGCUGCAGCAGGGGACACAGAGGGGGUCUAUGACACGGGGCUGCCUACAUAAAGGAUGGGCGGGGAAAGUGACCCUGGCCUAUCCCCCCAAGUUACACUCCUCAACCUCUCCCAAGGUCAUCUUGGCCAGGCCCCUGCCUCAAGGUUGGAUUGUGCCCCCCUGGCCCUCUGGAGAAGCUUCCUGCCCCGCAACCCCAGGACCAGAUCUAUGAAUAGGGAAAGAGUUCGUGACCAAAGAAGAUAGAGAAGUCCACAGGAGGUCAAAUGGAUAAUUUGGGCUACAUAAAAUUCAAAAGUAUUUGCACAAACAAAACCAAUUCAGCCAAAUUAGAAGAGAAGUAGGAAACUGGGUCACUACUGGAUGUUUCCAGCUACUGCUGGGCUCUAGUUCUAGGUCAGUCCCAAAGUUUACUCCUUACCCCUCAGGACAUCAGUGUUGGGUUGCUGCAACACUCAAGCUGAAUUCUACUCCUAAAUUGCUAAGGCAUGGAUGCUCUGCUUCCUCUACCUAGAAUAGAAAAGCAUAAAUGAAAGGGCCAAGAAGACCCCAUUUCUCUCCUCAGAGACGGAAGUCUCCAUAGAUCUUCCCUUACACCAUUGGCUAACCCCUCACAUCACCAGGGUUCAGUUGAAAAUAAUGAAAGCAAAGACAUGGACAGUGCUGACUCAAACCUUUUGGAAGAGGCUAACAGUUCUGGCUACACAGCCAGUUGAAAAGGACUCCUCCCAACUAUGCAAUUAGUCAACUGGAAACAGUUACAGAAUGUCCACACAUGCUCCAGUGUCUCUCCAAGACACUGCCUUUACCUGCCAUGAUUCCCCCAGAAGAAGCUCUCAAGUGGAGAGAUGCCAUCUGCUCUCAAGAGUCUUCCACAUGGAGACACACACCAUCUGAGGCACCAUGAGCAUGUGCCAGAUCCCCAUUACAAUUUUUUCCCAAAAAACCCC
rnacentral:lncRNA from 1 species